rnacentral:lncRNA from 1 species
AUUUUCCUUGAUUUAUUAUUAUUAUUAAUCGUAUUUAUAGUUAUUGAAUUAUUGGUCAUUGUUUGUGUUAGAUAAUUGUUCCUGGGAUGAUAUGCAACAUGUCCUUGGCAGUUUGUGGUGGCAGGAGUUCAAAAGAAAGUAAACGAGUGGCUUCAGCAGGUAGCUUCACUGUCAGCUUCCAUACCUUCUGAGGACAUGGUGCUGCAGAAGACACUGCAGGUUAUAGAUGAUUUUAAUCAUCAGUUGUCUGUGCUUCACAAACUCUGCAGUCCAGCACUCAAGCCUAAGCACUAUACACACAUAAUGAAGGGCUUGGGAAUGCAGGGCACUGCAGAAAUGACUGUAGGUGAACUUAUGUCACAAAAUGUAAUACAGCGGCAAAGUGAUGUUAUUAAGAUUUGCAGUGAAGCUGAGGCAGAGGCAGACAUGGAACAGAACUUCAAGAGCCUUCAGCAAUGCUGGGAAGGAAUGCAGUUCCAACUUGCCAAGUUUGCUGUUACUAUGUGGCUAGAAGAUAAAUUCCAAACAGUGGCAGCACCUGAAAAUAAGAC